AUUGAACGCUGGCGGCAGGCUUAACACAUGCAAGUCGAGCGAGCGGCGGACGGGUGUGUAAUGUAUGGGGAACUGCCUGAUGGAGGGGGAUAACUAUUGUAAACGGUAGCUCAUCUCGCGUACCAUCAUGUGGGGCCCGAUGGGAUUCGCUAUGGGGUGGGGUAACGGCUCACCUAGGCGACGAUCCCUAGCUGGGGUGAGAGGAUGACCAGCCACACUGGAACUGAGAAACGGUCCAGACGCCUACGGGAGGCAGCAGUGGGGAAUAUUGCACAAUGGGAGCAAGCCUGAUGCAGCCAUGCCGCGUGUGUGAAGAAGGCCUUCGGGUUGUAAAGCACUUUCAGCGGGGAGGCGUUACCCGCAGAAGAAGCACCGGCUAACUCCGUGCCAGCAGCCGCGGUAAUUC
rnacentral:rRNA from 1 species